GGGGCCGAUUGGUUUCGACGGUGAUCUGUUCGCCUUGGAGAAGCAUGCCGAGAAUGCAGGGUCCACUCGUGAUGUUCUCUGCAAUAAAAAUAAGUGCUAAAUCUAAUCGCACUGAGUUCGCUCUCGCUGCCUGAUUUUAAACGUAAUCAGAUUUAAUCCAGCGAGUUAGCACUCCAUCUGCUCUCCCGCGUCUUCGGGAGAGGUCAGGUGUCGUUAGGAGACUGACUUGUGAGAUUGAACUGCAGGGUCUCGCAAGGACAUUUUGCUGUGGCUAGGCUCGCCGCCAGUUGUCUGCGGCAUUGGCGGGGGCCGAAAAUACGCUCGUUCGAGUCAGCAGACUAAGCAUGUAGAAGGACGAGGGUACGGUCACCGGACCGGGGUUCAAUCCCCCGCGGCUCCACUU
rnacentral:tmRNA from 1 species